UAACGAAAUUCCGGUACCGGGUAAUCCAGUAUUCAAAAGACACCGGAUAAUAGUCAGAAUGAGUUUCACGUGACCGAGAAACUCUCUUAGGCCAACGGGAGAUUGUGAUGGAAGGGAAAGCAUUGUUGUCAUGACUGAACAUUGGACUUUUGUAAAUAAAAGCAUUCCAAUAAAAUGGCCAAACGAAUUUGUAAAUGCUUGAAUGUUGUCUUGAACAUAAAUGAGAAAGAAACAGAAGAAGUAGACGGCAAAGGACUGCUAGGAACGGAUGAAAAUGUCUCUGACGAAGAUGUGGAUGAAUUUUUCAAUGGCCAUCUGCUACUUGUAAAGCUGGCAUUUGCUGGAGUGGAAGUGCAACAGCAAAUUUUGAUGAAAACACGCACUGUUGGAGAUUACAAAAUCUACAAAUGUCUGAAUUGUGGUCUUAGCACUCAUGCCAUUCACACUUUCAAAGGACUGGAAAGGGUUGUGAUCAGCAAAGACCUGCUUGGUGAAUCAUCAUAUGAUAAGAUGAGGCAGUCAGAAACUUUCUCAACUGCUUUCAAAAUAGUUUUGAAUGACUUGUCCUCUGAUGGUUCUCCCAAACAUGGCAAUGGGUCCCAGUUGCAAAUGUUCCAGCGAUCUCUUUCUGAUGCCAAUUCUGAAGUGAAUGAUAUAGUGAAAAAAUACCUAGCGUUUGAAGAACAGGCAAUGAAUGAAAGAAUACGGAUUCACACUGAACAACAAAGAGAUAUUUUUGAAAAGCUUCAAGAGAAGGUAAAGAUCGACAAGCAGAAGUUUUUAAGGCUUAUCAACAAAAAUGAACAAAACGCUCUCCAAUCCUCGAUUUCUGAUGCAAUGGAAGAUAUGAAAUUAGUCAAAAAAGAAUCUAUUGAUUCAGACUCAGAAGAACCAGCAUCAAGUUUACCCCAGUUCAAAGGCAGAAAACAACGCCCUCGUCGAAGCAUCCCUAUCGUUGCAAGCUCGCUGCCAAGCAACAGGGCUCCUUCCAGGGUCCUUACACAGCAAGCCGCCUCCUCAUUAGAUAACAACCAAAGAUCGAAAAUGAAAAUGAGACAGAAAUUUCGAAAGGAGGAUGAUACAUUGUUCGAUUUUGAUGGCUUCAAUGAGAACAGAAGUUGUGAACCGUUUUUUGAAUCUGACGAGGACAGCAGUGGUGAUUCGAGUAGCCUUGGAAACAGUGGUGGAUUCGAUUUCACUUCAAACCGAGGUAGCAGCAACAAAAAUCGAAUUUAUGCAACCUCUGUUCCAGUUAGCAUUCCAAUGUAUCGAGAACCUCUGCAUGGUUCUUUCGAAGAAAGGAGUUACAUUGAUUCGGAACCGGCCCCUUCACCGGAGCGAAUGGCUGAAUCAAUCAAAGCCCUCGCAAGGAGUCUGCACGACUCAACCAGUAUAUUUGGCGAACUUCCUGGACCACGAUACAACACAAUGCCUUAUCACUAAUAGAAUUUAUUCGAAAUGGUAAUUGCAUAUUUAAAUUUCUAUUUUCGCGUUGUUUCGAAUGGAGGCCCAGCCUCAUUUGCAGAUUUAUCAUAUUUGUUUUAGAUUUAGUUAUUGUUGACAUAAUGAGGUUUUUGCUAUUAUAUCUUGUAGACCUUUUUCUCCAAGCCUCGAUCAGUGGCGACACCUGGGUGGCGAGGGGUUGCGGCCUCCAAUAUUUUGGAGAACAAUAGUCUUUUGUUCUAUAACAAUGAGAAAAUUUGACGUCAUCUUAUCGAAAAACUUGCCCCCCCCCACCCAAUCUUUGACUAAGUGCCCGCCCAUGGCCUCUAUCCGUCCCAUGAUGUAUUUUUCCAACUUGCUUGGGAUAGUAUAUUUUGUUUGAAAUAUAAAAAGGUAAAACGAUGGCAAAUUCUACAGAGCAUAAAAAUUAGAAAAGUUAGACUGCGAAAUAUAACCUUAAUGACGUAUAACUCCUAAACAAAUUAGCGAAAGUCUAACUACUAGUUUUUAGCUUUCUUACUAGGCCUUUGUGCUUAAUUCAGAGUUCGAACUACAAUUAUCAUCUAGCUAAAUAGCAGAAUUAGCAUCGCGAGCAUGAAGUGCACGUCAUGCUCUGUUUUUAAUCAUUUUAAAAUUAUCCCCAGACAAAAUUCUAAAAAGUGUUUCCCGCUUUUAAAACCCGUUUCCUGAAUCCCUUUGAAAAGUGAGACCGAAAAAUUCUUGCAAAAAUAGAUCAUUUGUUUGAAAACCUCUCCUCGUCCUCUGAAGCCUGUCUUCAUCAGAAAUGGAUUCAUCCUUCUGCUAGACAAUUUUCACAAACUUUGGAAUCCUUACUCAGGAAACAGGGAAAAUAAAAGGGAGUUCGGGGGGGGGGCAUUUAUUUUGUUUUUAUCGGACUUUCUCAUGACUGUUAACUGCAUGAACACCACAUCUUCUGGAUUCUGAUCUUUAUGGGUCCUUUAAUUUUAAUAUGCGAAUCUCCUUUCCUUACUUUUUAUGUGUGCAAUACCUGAAAUUUGUUUCCUGUAGUUUUUGCAAAUUUUUGUUGGACUAAGGUAUUCUGAAAACUGAAAAUUGACAUAGGACGUACUGCAAAUAAUUUAGAUUUUUUUUAAAUUUGUAAAGGUAUCUUCUUUUCAAUUUGAACUAGUAAAAACCCUUUUCCAGAAAAAACUCUCUGUUGAAUCAAUUCUUAACAUAGUAUAAAGAUGUUAGGUUCUUACCCCUUUUUUUAAUAAAUAUUUAUUACGAACACAAACCACCCUUUUGAAUUUUUAUCCUGGACUCUGUGCUGACUCGUGCGAACUUCAACGUUUUUACCACUGAAAGACCCUAGCCCAUAUUCAAAAAGCGAGAGAAUUUGGGGUAUUACCCCUUUUUCACAAUUAAUUCUUUUGUAUGGUUAAGUCAAAGUUAGUUAAAUUCUAUUAACUAUGAUUCAGAUCUGAUCAUCUUAUCAACCUGUGAUUCACACCAUAUUCUGGGAAGGCAACUUUGCAAUUUAAGAGAAUCACAAACCUUGACCACCCCACUCAGACCGUUUUCCCCACAGAGAUAUUUAUUAUCCUUAUGCUCUAAUCAUUGCAAUUUUUGUUUGUAUUGAAUUUCCCUUUCGUAAGUAUUGUGAAGUCUGACGUAAUUGAUAGAUGGCUGAAAUUAGACCUAAGACCUAGUCCUAGCUAGAUUGCUGAAAGACAGGAGAGGACAGUGGUGCAACAGCACCAAUAUUUUAACCCCCCCCCCAUCUUGGCAGGUCAUGGUUCGCGACCCUGAAGUAAUAUUUUCUAUAUUGCCACCACUGUUGAAGUGCCUAUUGCGUCUUUGGUUAGCAAUAUUGCUGUUGUUAUUGAAUUGCUUCAGCACUUGUACAUGGCUGUCAGGGAAUUGUAAUAAAUUCUUUCGUAUUAAUCCAUUGGCGUUGAGAUUUUUACCCCGUCCUCCAGUUUUGACGCUAAAGCUGUUCAAAUUGAACUGGGAGAAGAUGUCGGACGUUACAUCCCUGCUACCUAAACGUAUUUCAAGAUUGUUGAAAACAUCACAAUAUUUGAUAAGCACAAAAUUCACCCCCCCCCCUUCCUCUCUCUACUCACACACAGCUGUUUCUUUUAAUGUUGUCAUAAGAUUUUGAUAACCGUUAUUUUCCAUUCAAGAACCUCCAAACCCCACCAAAGUUUAGUCUAUAUUCUACUGACCCAUUCCACAGCUAUGACACAACAUGGCUUUUUCUAUUUUAUUAUAUAUUCUUUGUAAGGUUUUGUUUAAUAAAUGAAUUUAGCCAUAGUAAUGUUGCAUGAAUAACCUACUUUUUAAAUACUGUGUUUUUGUUGUGUGAAGCCUUCGUGAAGGUUCCAUUUGGCUACCCGUCAUAUUGAAACUUCGCCCCUUCUUAACUGUGCGAAAUGGCUGUGCAAGGCUAGGCUAGGGAAUCAGAUUGUCCAGACAAGUUUCUGAAACGGGGAUGUUACUUCUUUCAAACCAUAGACUCCCGACAACUCGAAACCCUGAUAUCUCGAACAUUCGCUUAGUCGAACUGAUAUUGCAUUCCUCUUGCCAAAUACAUUAAUAUAAUCUCGAUAACUCGAACAUUAGCUGUCUGGAACCAUUUCAUUGGCGCUUGGAUGUUCGAGUCAUAGGGAAUUUACUGUAGAACCUUUUUCUAGACAGGAAUUUCUCGAAUAGGGAGGCAGUCUUCGCUGAUAUGACCAGCUAACAGCCUUUGGUAUUCUGCAGCAUUACGAGAACGUGGUAUUAAGAGGAAAGUUUUAAAGCCAAAGAAUGAUUUCAGCAAUUACCGUAAAUCCUCGAAUUGCCCCCCCCCCCUCGAAAAAGCCCCCCUUCGAAUGAGCCCCCACCCUAGAACUACAAAUUGUCAAAAAGCCCCCCCCUGGAAAAAGCCCCCACUGCUACCGUUUAUUCUCGAAUUGGACCCCUCAAUCUGACGGUUUUUGCCAUCUGAGGUUGCCUAUGGCGUUUUAUUGAAUUACCACGACAAAUUCGUACUUUUGGUAGUAAUUUAUUCAAUGCUCAUAGAGAAAUUCCUUCUAAAAUGAAUAAGGUCUUGUAAUAAUGUAUUCUUAUUGUCUACAAUAAUUUUAUAAGCCCUCCCCCUCGUAUAAGGCCCCCGUCCAAAUAUAUCAAAAAUAAAUAAGCCCCCAGGGGUCUAAUUCGAGGAUUUACGGUAAAGCAAUAAGAAUAUUCUUUAUAAUCACAACGUUAUAAGCUACAACAAGAAAGGUCUUUAUAAGAUUUUAAAAAUGAAAACCCAUGCGAGCUUAAGUUGAGUAAGAUUCUCAAAGAUUGGAUAAUUCUGAGCCUAGUUAUUGUUAACAACUUCAUUCUUCUAAAAAUGUUUAAUUAAGGCCCUCUAUCAAAAGUGGUUUGUUCAACUUCACCCUCUUUUCAGAAAGUUAAACAAAGUGAUGAUUUAAACUUAGCUACCCCUUUAGCUUUCGAGAACAUUUAUUGUAUUUCCAUCACGAUUCGGCAAGUGUGUUUGAAAUAGAUUAAUUCAUGUUAAGCCCUUGUUAAAAAACAAAUUUCUAUAUAAAAUGUUCAGUAAAAAGAAUUCCAAACGGCCCCAGGCGCCUUCGCUACGUCAUCAUGGUCUACGCCGAAAAACGUCAUGUUGGCAGAUUUUGGUAUUGAAGACGCAACAACAGCCACAUUUUACCUCCAAGAAGGAACAACAGUUGGGAAGGCACAAGAACAUGGAGGGCAAGUUAGAAGUGCCGCCAGUUUUCGACUGCUUGCAGGAUAUUUAUGGGCCAGUAAAUGACAGAAUAAAGAAAAGAUAUGAGAAGAUAAUUUCAAGAUUUCAAUUGAAAUAUGGAUCAGCACCAGAGGUUUUUGUCAGAGCACCAGGGAGAGUCAAUCUCAUAGG